UACGUAGGUGGCAAGCGUUGUCCGGAAUUAUUGGGCGUAAAGCGCGCGCAGGCGGUCCUUUAAGUCUGAUGUGAAAGCCCACGGCUCAACCGUGGAGGGUCAUUGGAAACUGGGGGACGUGAGUACAGAAGAGAAGAGUGGAAUUCCACGUGUAGCGGUGAAAUGCGUAGAGAUGUGGAGGAACACCAGUGGCGAAGGCGACUCUUUGGUCUGUAACUGACGCUGAGGCGCGAAAGCGUGGGGAGCAAACAGG
rnacentral:rRNA from 1 species